ACGUAGGUGGCGAGCGUUGUCCGGAUUUACUGGGCGUAAAGGGAGCGUAGGCGGACUUUUAAGUGAGAUGUGAAAUACCCGGGCUCAACUUGGGUGCUGCAUUUCAAACUGGAAGUCUAGAGUGCAGGAGAGGAGAAUGGAAUUCCUAGUGUAGCGGUGAAAUGCGUAGAGAUUAGGAAGAACACCAGUGGCGAAGGCGAUUCUCUGGACUGUAACUGACGCUGAGGCUCGAAAGCGUGGGGAGCAAACAG
rnacentral:rRNA from 2 species